rnacentral:rRNA from 1 species
UACGUAGGGGGCGAGCGUUGUCCGGAAUGAUUGGGCGUAAAGGGCGCGUAGGCGGCCUGAUAAGUCUGAAGUGAAAGUCCUGGUUUUAAGCUGGGAAUUGCUUUGGAUACUGUCGGACUUGAGUGCAGGAGAGGUAAGUGGAAUUCCCAGUGUAGCGGUGAAAUGCGUAGAGAUUGGGAGGAACACCAGUGGCGGAGGCGACUAACUGGACUGUAACUGACGCUGAGGCGCAAAAGUGUGGGGAGCAAAC